rnacentral:rRNA from 1 species
AUUGAACGCUGGCGGCAUGCCUUACACAUGCAAGUCGAACGGCAGCACGGGUGCUUGCACCUGGUGGCGAGUGGCGAACGGGUGAGUAAUAUAUCGGAACGUACCUUAUCGUGGGGGAUAACGCAGCGAAAGUUGCGCUAAUACCGCAUACGCCCUAAGGGGGAAAGCAGGGGACCGUAAGGCCUUGCGCGAUUAGAGCGGCCGAUAUCUGAUUAGCUAGUUGGUGAGGUAAAGGCUCACCAAGGCGACGAUCAGUAGCUGGUCUGAGAGGACGAUCAGCCACACUGGGACUGAGACACGGCCCAGACUCCUACGGGAGGCAGAAGUGGGGAAUUUUGGACAAUGGGGGCAACCCUGAUCCAGCAAUGCCGCGUGAGUGAAGAAGGCCUUCGGGUUGUAAAGCUCUUUUGUCAGGGAAGAAACAGCGGCUCUAAUACAGUUUGCGAAUGACGGUACCUGAAGAAUAAGCACCGGCUAACUACGUGCCAGCAGCCGCCGUAA